GAUGAAGAACGUAGCGAAAUGCGAUAAGUAGUGUGAAUUGCAGAAUUCAGUGAAUCAUCGAAUCUUUGAACGCACAUUGCGCCCUUUGGUAUUCCAAAGGGCAUGCCUGUUCGAGCGUCAUUUGUACCCUCAAGCUUUGCUUGGUGUUGGGCGUCUUGUCUCUAGCUUUGCUGGAGACUCGCCUUAAAGUAAUUGGCAGCCGGCCUACUGGUUUCGGAGCGCAGCACAAGUCGCACUCUCUAUCAGCAAAGGUCUAGCAUCCAUUAAGCCUUUUUUUCAACUUUUGUCCUCGGAUCAGGUAGGGAUACCCGCUGAACUUAAGCAUAUCAAUAAGCGGAGGA
rnacentral:misc_RNA from 1 species